rnacentral:rRNA from 1 species
UACAGAGGUCUCAAGCGUUGUUCGGAUUUAUUGGGCGUAAAGGGUGCGUAGGCGGUGAGGUAAGUUGGAUGUGAAAUCCCGGGGCUUAACCCCGGAAUCGCAUUCAAUACUGCCUUGCUCGAGUACUGGAGAGGAGACUGGAAUUUACGGUGUAGCAGUGAAAUGCGUAGAUAUCGUAAGGAAGACCAGUGGCGAAGGCGAGUCUCUGGACAGUUACUGACGCUGAGGCACGAAGGCCAGGGGAGCAAACGGG